AUUUAAAAAUGCUUUUGCAACCUGACACUGUUCAGCUUUUUUAUCUUUUACCAGUAUUUGGGGACUUAUUGGGGAUUCCUUUGAUAAUUUCAGGAAGAAAGAAGUGGAAUGGAAGGAGCCAGUAACUGUCCCAGGUCAGAAAACGCCUCUGAAAAGGAUCUACAUUACACCCAAAGUUCAUUGGAUAACUGCACCCUCAACAAUCAGGAGACAAUAAGUGGUGUAGACAGAGCUAAUAUCUUCCCCAAAUCAGAUGGUACCUCUGAAGACAUUCAGCAUUCCACAGACUGUUCACAGGUUGAGACUUUCCACAUUCAGGAGACAAUAAGUGGUACGAACCAAGCCAGUAACUGCCCCAAAUCAGAUGGUGCCUCUGAAGACAAUCAGCAUUGCACAGACAGUUCACAGCAUGACAGUAUCUUCCACAUUCAGGAGACAAUAAAGGGUAUGAACCAAGCCAGUAACUGCCCCAAAUCAGAUGGUGCCUCUGAAGACAAUCAGCAUUGCACAGACAGUUCACAGCAUGACAGUAUCUUCCACAUUCAGGAGACAAUAAAGGGUAUGAACCAAGCCAGUAACUGCCCCAAAUCAGAUGGUGCCUCUGAAGACAAUCAGCAUUGCACAGACCGUCCACAGCAUGACAGUAUCUUCCACAUUCAGUGGCUCUUGAUGUAGAACCACCCAUAGAUCCUUCUGCAAAAGAAGUCCAGAAAUCUUCAAUUGAACAAGCAACAGAAAUAACAAGUACCACAACUACCAUGAAAGGUACUGUUUGUUAAACUUCAUAGAAAGCCUUUAUGAACUUAAAAAUCUCUGUUUUUUCUGAUGUGCUUUGUUCAUUCAGGUCGAAAGGUGGUAAAGAAAAAGAAAUGGGACAGUGAUGAAAUGAAUGCAGUUGAAAAGCAUCUAAACAGGUUCAUCAAAACUUGUACAGUGCCAGGAAAACAACAAUGUGAGGCCUGUAUAAAUGCUGAACCUGUUGCCUUGAAAGACAGGGAUUGGUUGUCUGUAAAGUUCUUUGUGAAGAACAAAAUCACUACCCUUAAAAGAAGAAUGUAAAGUCAGUUAUUUUAUUUUGUUUGGUAUCUUAUUUUCUGGUAUUUUAGAUUUCUGGUUAUUACAUUUGUUUUAAAAGGAUCUUAGAAUCUCUUUUUUUUUUUUUUUUGGAAAUGGGUGCAAUUCAGUAAAGUGUCU
rnacentral:lncRNA from 1 species